rnacentral:rRNA from 1 species
CGGUAAUACGUAGGGCGCAAGCGUUAUCCGGAAUUAUUGGGCGUAAAGAGCUCGUAGGCGGUUUGUCGCGUCUGCUGUGAAAUCCCGAGGCUCAACCUCGGGCCUGCAGUGGGUACGGGCAGACUAGAGUGCGGUAGGGGAGAUUGGAAUUCCUGGUGUAGCGGUGGAAUGCGCAGAUAUCAGGAGGAACACCGAUGGCGAAGGCAGAUCUCUGGGCCGUAACUGACGCUGAGGAGCGAAAGGGUGGGGAGCAAACAGGCUUAGAUACCCUGGUAGUCCACCCCGUAAACGUUGGGAACUAGUUGUGGGGUCCAUUCCACGGAUUCCGUGACGCAGCUAACGCAUUAAGUUCCCCGCCUGGGGAGUACGGCCGCAAGGCUAAAACUCAAAGGAAUUGACGGGGACCCGCACAAGCGGCGGAGCAUGCGGAUUAAUUCGAUGCAACGCGAAGAACCUUACCAAGGCUUGACAUAUACGAGAACGGGCCAGAAAUGGUCAACUCUUUGGACACUCGUAAACAGGUGGUGCAUGGUUGUCGUCAGCUCGUGUCGUGAGAUGUUGGGUUAAGUCCCGCAACGAGCGCAACCCUCGUUCUAUGUUGCCAGCACGUAAUGGUGGGAACUCAUGGGAUACUGCCGGGGUCAACUCGGAGGAAGGUGGGGAUGACGUCAAAUCAUCAUGCCCCUUAUGUCUUGGGCUUCACGCAUGCUACAAUGGCCGGUACAAAGGGCUGCAAUACCGUGAGGUGGAGCGAAUCCCAAAAAGCCGGUCCCAGUUCGGAUUGAGGUCUGCAACUCGACCUCAUGAAGUCGGAGUCGCUAGUAAUCGCAGAUCAGCAACGCUGCGGUGAAUACGUUCCCGGGUCUUGUACACACCGCCCGUCAAGUCAUGAAAGUCGGUAACACCUGAAGCCGGUGGCCUAACCCUUGUGGAGGGAGCCGUCGAAGGU